rnacentral:rRNA from 1 species
CGGGAGGCAGCAGUCGGGAAUAUUGGACAAUGGGGGCAGCCCUGAUCCAGCUAUACCGCGUGUGUGAAGAAGGCCUGCGGGUUGUAAAGCACUUUCGCUAGGGACGAUAAUGACGGUACCUAGAUAAGAAGCACCGGCUAACUCCGUGCCAGCAGCCGCGGUAAUACGGAGGGUGCAAGCGUUAAUCGGAAUUACUGGGCGUAAAGCGCACGUAGGCGGUUAUUUAAGUCAGAUGUGAAAGCCCCGGGCUCAACCUGGGAACUGCAUCUGAUACUGGGUAACUAGAAUGUGGGAGAGGGAAGUGGAAUUUCCGGUGUAGCGGUGAAAUGCAUAGAGAUCGGAAGGAACAUCAGUGGCGAAGGCGACUUCCUGGACCAACAUUGACGCUGAGGUGCGAAAGCGUGGGUAGCAAACAGGAUUAGAUACCCUGGUAGUCCACGCUGUAAACGAUGUCAACUAGCCGUUGGGUUCAACUUAGAACUCAGUGGUGCAGCUAACGCAUUAAGUUGACCGCCUGGGGAGUACGCUCGCAAGAGUAAAACUCAAAGGAAUUGACGG